GUUCUUCAUGACAACAGAACCCACAACAACCAUGACUUUUAUCACCAUAUUCAUCUGGACACUUGCUUUCUGCUUCCAAGAAUCCAGAGGACAGUACGUUGUGACACAGACUCCGGCAGUGAAAGCUGUU